rnacentral:rRNA from 1 species
AGAGUUGAGUCCUGGCUUAGGACGAACGCUGGCGGCGUGCCUAACACAUGCAAGUCGAGCGAGGAGAUCCUUCGGGAUGAUCCUAGCGGCGGACGGGUGAGUAACACGUGGGCAACCUGCCUCAUAGAGAGGAAUAGCCUUCCGAAAGGGAGAUUAAUACCUCAUAACAUUGCAGUUUCGCAUGGAACAGCAAUUAAAGGAGUAAUCCGCUAUGAGAUGGGCCCGCGGCGCAUUAGCUAGUUGGUGAGGUAACGGCUCACCAAGGCGACGAUGCGUAGCCGACCUGAGAGGGUGAUCGGCCACAUUGGGACUGAGACACGGCCCAGACUCCUACGGGAGGCAGCAGUGGGGAAUAUUGCACAAUGGGGGAAACCCUGAUGCAAGCAACGCCGCGUGAGUGAUGACGGCCUUCGGGUUGUAAAGCUCUGUCUUCAGGGACGAUAAUGACGGUACCUGAGGAGGAAGCCACGGCUAACUACGUGCCAGCAGCCGC